AUUGAACGCUGGCGGCAGGCUUAACACAUGCAAGUCGAGCGGAGAUGAGGUGCUUGCACCUUAUCUUAGCGGCGGACGGGUGAGUAAUGCUUAGGAAUCUGCCUAUUAGUGGGGGACAACAUUCCGAAAGGAAUGCUAAUACCGCAUACGCCCUACGGGGGAAAGCAGGGGAUCUUCGGACCUCGCGCUAAUAGAUGAGCCUAAGUCGGAUUAGCUAGUUGGUGGGGUAAAGGCCUACCAAGGCGACGAUCUGUGGCGGGUCUGGGAGGAUGAUCCGCCACACUGGGACUGAGACACGGCCCAGACUCCUACGGGAGGCAGCAGUGGGGAAUAUUGGACAAUGGGCGGAAGCCUGAUCCAGCCAUGCCGCGUGUGUGAAGAAGGCCUUUUGGUUGUAAAGCACUUUAAGCGAGGAGGAGGCUACCUGGAUUAAUACUCUAGGAUAGUGGACGUUACUCGCAGAAUAAGCACCGGCUAACUCUGUGCCAGCCGCCGCCGUAACAC
rnacentral:rRNA from 1 species